rnacentral:rRNA from 1 species
UACGUAGGGCGCAAGCGCUAUCCGGAAUUAUUGGGCGUAAAGAGCUCGUAGGCGGCUUGUUGCGUCGACUGUGAAAACCCGCGGCUUAACCGCGGGCUUGCAGUUGAUACGGGCAGGCUAGAGUUCGGUAGGGGAGACUGGAAUUCCUGGUGUAGCGGUGAAAUGCGCAGAUAUCAGGAGGAACACCGGUGGCGAAGGCGGGUCUCUGGGCCGAUACUGACGCUGAGGAGCAAAAGCGUGGGGAGCGAACAGG